GAUGAACGCUGGCGGCGUGCCUAAUACAUGCAAGUCGAGCGAAUGGAUUAAGAGCUUGCUCUUAUGAAGUUAGCGGCGGACGGGUGAGUAACACGUGGGUAACCUGCCCAUAAGACUGGGAUAACUCCGGGAAACCGGGGCUAAUACCGGAUAACAUUUUGAACCGCAUGGUUCGAAAUUGAAAGGCGGCUUCGGCUGUCACUUAUGUAUGGACCCGCGUCGCAUUAGCUAGUGGGCGAGGUAACGGCUCACAAAGGCAACGAUGCGUAGCCGACCUGAGAGGGUGAUCGGCCACACUGGGACUGAGACACGGCCCAGACUCCUACGGGAGGCAGCAGUAGGGAAUCUUCCGCAAUGGACGAAAGUCUGACGGAGCAACGCCGCGUGAGUGAUGAAGGCUUUCGGGUCGUAAAACUCUGUUGUUAGGGAAGAACAAGUGCUAGUUGAAUAAGCUGGCACCUUGACGGUACCUAACCAGAAAGCCACGGCUAACUACGUGCCAGCAGCCGCCGUAA
rnacentral:rRNA from 1 species